UGUGACUAGUCAGGUCCCAUGAUUCAGUCCCUAAUGUUGGAAUCAUGGGAGAAGAGAAGUUCUAUUUCAGUUGGAGAGCUGAGCAGUUAUGCUCUGAGUCUGUGGCUGUUGGAGGCCAUCUUGCUUUCAUAAAAAGAAAGCCCAGGUGAGAAUGACAACAGCACAGAGGGAAGUAAAGCUAAGAGAUCAGAAGAGGCCUUCUAUGCUGAAUUCUUAGGGAGUCCAGGUACAGUCUUGCCUGAAGCUGUCUACACUUAGACAUCUUAGUUACAUAAAUUGUUUCCUCCUCCUCUGAUUCGUUGCUUGUUUUCUGACAUUGGCUAUCAAGAGAAUUCUGACUUUUCUUUCCAGCAGGCUAAAUGGAGUUUCCUGGAACUUCCAACAGUAGGGAUAAGGUCAGCUGCAAGGAGGAACUUCCAGCUAACACUGAAGAAGGCAAUAUGCUGGGUGAGCAACCAACAUCAUCCUGCCGUAAAGGAGAAAUGAACAAGGUAGCUGAGGGUUCAAAGCCAAGGGAACUGGAGGAACAGAACAUGCAAAGUUCUGAUUCAGUCCAAGGGCUACAUCACUACAUGCUUCUCAAACUGGAGGAUGAACAGCCCUGAUUCUGUGCAGGGAGCAGGCCAAACAAGAGUAUCCAAUGUAUCUUUCUGAAGCACCAAGUUUAUUACAAGACUUAGAAGAACCAAGUACUUUAAUGAGAAUCAUCCCCUCCUACAAAUGUGGAAGGAAAGAGGAACAGGAGAGGUGAAAAGGACCCCAGGGGAACAGGCUGGCUGAGUGGUGGGCCUGCAGCGAGGGGGCCUCUCCUGCUGUACCUGAGGCGGCUUCAUCCAUCCUCCAAGCUCAGCAGGUAUUUUUGGUCUUGAGUUUUGAAGGCCACAGAGAUGCCUGGUGCCCUUCCGAUGUGAAUUUGUGCGGAGAACAUCGUGGCAGUUGGCACAGCUCCACUGUCCACUGGAUCUAGUGCUCUCUCGCCCAGGGGUCCUGGCACACACAGUGUGCACAUUAUGCUCCUCUUCUUCUGGAAGCUCUCCGCGUCCAGCCUUUAGUCUUUCUCCCUGCACCAUGUGACCUGGCUCCCUGGAGCCCAUCAUGGUUCAGUUCUUCAUUUAAAGUGGAGGAUGCGUAGCUUGACCUCCCUGGACUCUUUGGUUGUGUCCCUUCCUUGGCUGUCCACCAUUUACAUGGCCUCUACAUUUUCCCAAGCUUUUUUUUUUUGUGGAUGACCUGAGCCGAGCUUUUUCAACAUAAAGACCAAGAUUCUCCUGGUGACCCCUGCAGGCCCUGGCUGGUUUCCUCUGGGGAUCUGCAGCUGCUGCUAUGACUAUCAGAUCAUUUUUGGUGUCCAGGAAUCCCCAGGGCCACCCUGGAGGCUGGGCUGGGUGUGGCGGCCCCUGACUCCGAGAUGACUGGUGGAACGGCUGGCUCUUGAAUCUCCUGUCACAACCCCUGGUUCUCAGGCUGCUUAUACAUUUCCAGACACCUGGAGAACUCUGGGUGAACCUCCUGAGUUGGGGAAGGACCAUGGCUGUUGUGGUCAGGGGAACAGAAGGGCCCUAUCACAACAGUGAGGCACUCCAGUUUUGGUUUCUUGCUGUUCACAAUGAGACAAGUGGCCACUAUGUUAGUGAACCCCUUAUGCUUUUCUGUCUCUUGGUUCUCAUCCCACUCAAACCCCAGGCUCAUAUCUGCCUGUCACCCAGGAGUCCAUGUAGUCACAGGGAGGCUCACUGUAAGGACUGAGUAUUUCUUCUUGGCCCAUGUUUAGCCUUGGGUCUCCCAUAAACUACCUUUGUCCCUUGGAUGAGAAUCAACAGUUUUUUAAAUGUCUUUUUCCAAUUCAAAGGAUGGAUAAAUGGCGUGAGGUAUUUAUUUUCUGCUUAAUAUCUGCAGCCGCAGCUCCCUAAAGUGUUUUUCUAUGAAGGGCAGGUCCCUAUCAACAUUUUAUACAGAACUACUCCUAGGCUCCAUACCUCAACCAUAGGUCCGUCAUAUUUUUGGCCCAGAAAUAGUUCUGGGCAGCAUAAGAGAGGGUACCACAAACGUGCAACUUAUCGCCCAAAAACUGAGUGCUGAGUCCAAGUCUCUGGAGGAGCUCUGCUGAUUGAUGACUUUUAUAGCCAUUUCUGUACCGUUCAGAACGUGUUGGCCCAACCCCCGCUUCGCUGCCCUCUCCAAUGGUGUUAUGGAAGUUGUAAUGCCCACUGUGGGGCUCCGGGUCCACCAUUUUGACGUUCCUCUGAGCAUCAAUGAACAUGCUCUUUGGCUCAGGUCCCUGUGGACCAUGCCCCUCUGGUGGCUGUGCUGCACAGGUGAUACCAGCUGAUGGAAAAUACUUCGGGCCUCCUUCUCCGUCAUGCGGUAGUGAUCCUCCAUGUAAUCGGAUAUGUCCCCUCCACUUAGGUGCUCCAUGAUGAGGCAGAGUUUUCUCCUGGUGCCAGCCACCUCAAAUAACUUGAUUAUAUUCUGGUGAUUGAAUGCCUUCAUGCACGGAAGUCCUGCAGGGGAAGUCGCUGGAGGAGCCCUGCUGAUUGAUGACUUUGACAGCCAUUUCUGUACCGUUCAGAAUGUGUCAGCCCAACCCCCCCUUCGCUUCCCUCUCCAAUGGUGUUGCGGAAGUUGUAAUGCCCACUAUGGGGCUCCUGGUCCACAGAGAUGGCUGCAAGGUCAUCCAUAUGGUGACUUGCUAACUAUACUAACCGACAAUACUAACAAUGCUAGCUAUGAUUAUUAACUAUGCUAACACACUAACAAUGCGGACUAUGCUUAUUAACUAUCCUACAAAGCAAUAACUAUAAUAACAAUACUAACAAUCUAUACUAACUCUACCAACAAUACUAAUGGUACAAACAUUGCUAGUUUAAAAUACUAUCUAAAUUUGUUUAAAUGAGAAAAACAAAACAAUGAAAAAAAAGAAUAAAAGAAUAAAACAAAAAUUAAGUAAAUUAAAGAAAUGGGGGGAGAACAAAAGAAUAGUGAGAACAAGACAAAAAGAAUAAUAGAGAAGAAAAAAGAGAGCAAAAAAAUAAGAAAAAGGAAAUAACCAGAAAGCCCUAACCCCCCAGAGUGGCUGUACUUGGAGAUGGGGCCUGUGACGUGCUCAAGGUUAAAGAGGUCAAAAGGAUGGGACUCUGGUCCAGUAGGGCUGGUGCCCUGACAAGAAGAAGGGGCACCAGAGCGCCCCCUCUCUGCCAUGUGAGCACAGUGAGAGGGCAGCAGGCUGCAGCCAGGAAGCGUGACCACACCAGGAACUGACCCUGGGGGACUUUGAUCGGAGACUUCCAGCCUCCAGAAGGGGGGAAAGUAAACUUCUGUUGUUUAAGCCUUUCCUAGUCCCUGUGGUUUGGGAGACAAUAAUCUUCCAUCAUACCGGAAUCAAAAGUGAGCACGUCACCUGGACUUGGCCAACCCACGGAUUCCAUCCCCUUUGCUUCAGUAACCAGUUUGCGGAUGGAUGUGUGACCCAAGUCCAGCAUAUCUGUGCCAGGACUUAACCACAGAACUAUGCCAAUGGAAGUUCUUUACCCACAGGCGGCUGCCAUGGCUACUGCUUUGGGGAAACUGACCUGAGAGUGAGGCCUGCAUGGAGAGCAGAGCUAAAGUGGCUCCUGGUGGUGUAAUUUGAGUCCCUGCACCAAGCCAGACCUGAUGCCCACCUGAUUUGGAGGGGGUUGGGGCACAGUAGAGCUCUGAUCAAAGCCAUCAAAACACUGAUCUUGUCUGAGUGCGAGGUUGUGUUCAGCACAAUGAAGGAAGGAAGAAAGAGGACUCCAGGGAGAGAAACCCCAAGACUAUGCAUGCACGUGCAUGUGGGCACACAGUUCAGGUCAGAGCAAUGCACAUCAUGGGGGGACUUGCAGCCAACAGAGAGGAGGAGGGCUGCUCUACUCAAAUGGGAAGUUAUACCACAUUACUGACCUCUUUGUAUGAUGUGCAAUUUGCUUUGAAACAAUAAAGAGACACAUUAGGCAGAUGUGACAAAGCGUAAUGGUUGCAUUAAUUCAAACAGCACCAAACACGGCCCACAGCCCAUUUGGAAUCUUUAAAAAUCCCCAGGCCACGCAUCUCUCCCCGAGGAGGAAACCCUCAGUGUUGUCACUGUCCUUUUCUUACCAGGUCCAGGGCCUUAAAUGCACCACUGCCUGGGCUCCCUGGAGGUCAGGCUGCCCGGUCAAGGUCACACAGCUCAUCAGGGCACAGAACACAGACACAGGCUUUCUUACUAAAACCUUGUGUUUGACUCACCGACAGAGGUAGGUUCCUGGGAAGCUAUGGAACAGGGUCCCUCACUAGUAGGGACCUUUCUUAAAUCCUGCACAUAAUUCUGGAUUCUAUUUCUUAAAAAGCACCAUUCAAACUGGCCUCAGACGUUCAAGGACAGCCCCGUCAGUAUAGGGAGACGCCUGCCCGCCCAUGCCACUGCAAGGAGUGCCUGAUGCUGACAGCACGAGACGAAAACAUGGGGGUUACUGAAAACCUCCUUGGAGCUUCUCCCUUUUCUACCGAGGACAGGUGAUUCUCAGCAGCCCGGAGCCUCCGGUCCUCCCAUACCCGCAGUGCUUCAAACAGGCCACCUCGGGGCCUUUGCACAGGGGGAUGGUCCCCAAUACUCGGCCCUCUCUUGGCCUAGAUGAUGCCUGCUCCUC